rnacentral:rRNA from 1 species
GGGGAAUCUUGCACAAUGGGCGAAAGCCUGAUGCAGCGACGCCGCGGGAGGGAAGAAGGCUUUCGGGUUGUAAACCUCUUUCAGGAGGGACGAAGCUACUCGGGUUAAUAGCCCAGAGGGUGACGGUACCUCCAGCAGAAGCCCCGGCUAACUACGAGCCAGCAGCCGCGGUAAUACGUAGGCAGCGAGCGUUGUUCGGGGUUACUGGGCGUAAAGCGUGCGUAGGCGGUGGUCCAAGUCUGGUGUGAAAUCUCCCGGCUCAACUGGGAGGGUGCGCCGGAAACUGGGCCGCUGGAGUAUGGGAGAGGCAAGCGGAAUUCCAGGUGUAGCGGUGAAAUGCGUAGAUAUCUGGAGGAACACCCGUGGUGCAGACGGCUUGCUGGACCAUGACUGACGCUGAGGCACGAAAGCGUGGGUAGCAAAC